GGUUAAGUGACUAAGCGUACAGGGCGGAUGCCUUGGCAAUCAGAGGCGAUGAAGGACGUGCUAAUCUGCGAAAAGCUUGGAUGAGUCGAUAAGAGGCGUUUAAUCCAAGAUAUCCGAAUGGGGAAACCCGAUGGAUGAAGAAUCCAUCAUUUCAUGGUGAAUACAUAGCGAUGAAAGGCGAACCGGGAGAACUGAAACAUCUAAGUACCCCGAGGAAAAGAAAUCAACCGAGAUUCUGUGAGUAGCGGCGAGCGAAAGCGGAAGAGCCAGUAAGUUUUAGCUAGCAUAUUAGAGGAAUUGGCUGGGAAGCCAAAUCAAAGAGGGUGAUAAUCCCGUACUCGAAAGUAUGGUAGUGGAACUAAGCUUACGAUAAGUA
rnacentral:rRNA from 1 species